CUACAUCUUGGUGGUAGUAGCAAAUAUUCAAAUUGAGAACUUUGAAGGCCGAAGUGGAGAAGGGUUCCAUGUGAACAGCAGUUGAACAUGGGUCAGUCGACCCUAAGGGAUAGGCGAAGGCCGUUCUGAAGCGGGGUGAUGUUCGCGUCGCCCCGGCGGACCGAAAGGGAAUCGGGUUAAUAUUCCCGAACCUCGACGCGGAGAUUGGCGCUCCGGCGCCUAGUGCGGCAACGCAAACGAACUCGGAAACGCCGACGUGGGUCCCGGGAAGAGUUCUCUUUUCUUGGUAAGGGGCGGCGACCCUGGAAUCGGUUCGCCCGGAGAUAGGGACAUGGGCCCCGUAAAGCAGCACGUCUCUUGUGCUGUCCGGUGAGCUCGCGUCGGCCCUUGAAAAUCCGAGGGAGACGGUGUAAUUUUCGUGCGAGGUCGUACCCAUAUCCGCAGCAGGUCUCCAAGGUGAACAGCCUCUGGCCGAUAGAACAAUGUAGGUAAGGGAAGUCGGCAAACUAGAUCCGUAACUUCGGGAAAAGGAUUGGCUCUAGGGGCUGGGUCGGUCGGGCUGAGGUACGAAGCGGGGCGCGGCGCUGUACCGGACUGGGCGAACGACGGCCUCCCUCGCGGGGGGCUGGCGUGAGCCUGGACCUGUGUCGGCGUCUUCCCGUGGAAUGCCGCAGCUAACGCGGGCCUCGCGGCCCGCUUCGGCCGGCGUCGAACAGCCGACUUAGAACUGGU
rnacentral:ncRNA from 1 species